GGAAGCUCCACUCCACAGGACAACGUGCUGAGUUUCACGUUAUAACGUGAUACAGAUCUUCCCAUUCUAGAGUCAAGAAAACUGUGAUUCAUACAAUUUAGAUCAAACACACUAGUGGAAACAUCACUAGGAUUAUUUUAUAUUUAAUUUCCAAAGAUGGAUCCUUUCACCUGAGUCUUACACACUGCAGCUUUAAAUGGUCUGUGAGCAACUCUCAUAUCUACUGUAAAGAGAGAGAGGAGGAGCCUGAGAACAGGGAGGUGUCAGACUCCAUUUUCACUGGGAUGAGCAGAAGGAAGAAAAGUGAGCAGUGUUUUUCCUCUCAGGAGGAAGAGGAGGACAGAGCAGAGUCUCCAGGGUUCAGCUGUGUGUCUCUGAAGAGUGACCGGUCCAUGGAACAGCCUCUGUUUUGCAGUAAUGAACCUGGACCCUCACACACAAAGGAGAGGAAGAGGAGUCAUGUUUCUGAGGAGGAGCAGUCGUCCUGCUGUGCUU